AACCCAUGUUGAGGACAUUUCCAUAGGAGCUCCUUAAACCUAUUCCAUGUCUCAAAAAGAGACUCAAAUUCCAUUUGUACAAAAGCAGAUAUUUCAUACCUAAGCUU